rnacentral:rRNA from 1 species
UACAGAGGUCUCAAGCGUUGUUCGGAUUCAUUGGGCGUAAAGGGUGCGUAGGCGGCGCGGUAAGUCGGGUGUGAAAUCUCGGAGCUUAACUCCGAAACUGCAUUCGAUACUGCCGUGCUUUGAGGACUGGAGAGGAGACUGGAAUUUGCGGUGUAGCGGUGAAAUGCGUAGAUAUCGUAAGGAAGACCAGUGGCGAAGGCGGGUCUCUGGGCCGAUACUGACGCUGAGGAGCGAAAAGCGUGGGGGAGCGAAACAGG